rnacentral:rRNA from 1 species
GAUGAACGCUGGCGGCGUGCUUAACACAUGCAAGUCGAGCGAAGCAUUUUAAAGGAAGUUUUCGGAUGGAAUUUAAAAUGACUGAGCGGCGGACGGGUGAGUAACGCGUGGGUAACCUGCCUCAUACAGGGGGAUAACGGUUAGAAAUGACUGCUAAUACCGCAUAAGCGCACAGUGCUGCAUAGCACAGUGUGAAAAACUCCGGUGGUAUGAGAUGGACCCGCGUCUGAUUAGGUAGUUGGUGAGGUAACGGCCCACCAAGCCGACGAUCAGUAGCCGACCUGAGAGGGUGACCGGCCACAUUGGGACUGAGACACGGCCCAAACUCCUACGGGAGGCAGCAGUGGGGAAUAUUGGACAAUGGGGGAAACCCUGACGCAGCAACGCCAUGUGUGGGAUGAAGCAUUUCGGUGUGUAAACCACUGUCGGCAGGGAAUAAAGCCCACAUUUAUGUGGGGUGAAUGUACCUGCAGAGGAAGCCCCGGCUAACUUCGUGCCA